GGUCGUAUGGUCUAGUGGUUAGGACUCCGGAUUUUGAUUACGCAAUCAGCCAAAUGGUUUCCGGCAGCCCCGGUUCGAACCCGGGUACGACCU